GAAGCUCAAGAAAGCCAACACAAAAACUGAUGCCUAUAGCCUUGGUGUUAUCAUAUUAGAACUCCUAACAGGGAAGUCCCCCGGAGAGGCAAUGAAUGGAGUGGAUUUGCCACAAUGGGUUGCCUCAAUAGUUAAAGAAGAGUGGACAAAUGAAGUGUUUGAUCUCGAGUUAAUGAGGGAUGCAUCUUCCAUUGGUGAUGAGUUGCUCAACACUUUGAAACUGGGUUUACAUUGCGUGGACCCAUCGCCAUCGGCAAGACCCGAAGUUCAUCAGGUUCUCCAGCAGCUAGAAGAGAUUAGACCAGAGAGUGAGACACCUGCUAGCUCUGCACCUUCUGGUGAUGAUGGAGCUGGAGGAGUUCCUUCAACAAGCGAGUGAAAAAAGGGGGGUGUUCAUGUAUUAGGCAUAGGCACUAGAGAGCAUUGAUUCUUUUAUUCUUACAAGAGAUAUCCUUAGAUAUUAAUUUUGUGUGUGGGUUGCCUCAAUAGUUAAAGAAGAGUGGACAAAUGAAGUGUUUGAUCUCGAGUUAAUGAGGGAUGCAUCUUCCAUUGGUGAUGAGUUGCUCAACACUUUGAAACUGGGUUUACAUUGCGUGGACCCAUCGCCAUCGGCAAGACCCGAAGUUCAUCAGGUUCUCCAGCAGCUAGAAGAGAUUAGACCAGAGAGUGAGACACCUGCUAGCUCUGCACCUUCUGGUGAUGAUGGAGCUGGAGGAGUUCCUUCAACAAGCGAGUGAAAAAAGGGGGGUGUUCAUGUAUUAGGCAUAGGCACUAGAGAGCAUUGAUUCUUUUAUUCUUACAAGAGAUAUCCUUAGAUAUUAAUUUUGUGUGCUGUCUGUAAAUAUGUUUUUAAUAGUUCCAGGUUGUUUGCCCCUUUGAAUUGUUAUGAUGUAGUUCAGUUCCACUCCCUGGAAAGACUAGGCGAUUUUGAAGUUGUCUGCAUUUGAUUCAGUUGAGAAAUGAUUGUUUUUCAAUCCAAAUCUUUGGCCACUUUGCAUAUGCAACAAUGUCUUCUGAUACUAACAGCCGAGCAAAAAGAAAAAGAAAGCCGUAACAACUUUGAAUAUCAACUUCAGAUAUCUUUUCCGGGAAAAACAGAAGAAAAAGAAAAAGUUCUGUGGCAUAUUUCCAUACAUUUUCAAUAAAGUGGCCAACCUGUCCUUGUUUCCAUUUCUUACCAAACCUAUAAUGCUGUUCCAAUUUAGACAAACUCUUUUUUUUUUUUCAAAAAUGCUUUAAUUUAAUUUAAUUUAAUAUUUUU
rnacentral:lncRNA from 1 species